rnacentral:rRNA from 1 species
CGCGGCCUAUCAGCUUGUUGGUGAGGUAACGGCUCACCAAGGCAGCGACGGGUAGCUGGUCUGAGAGGACGAUCAGCCACACUGGGACUGAGACACGGCCCAGACUCCUACGGGAGGCAGCAGUAGGGAAUCUUGCGCAAUGGGCGAAAGCCUGACGCAGCAACGCCGCGUGGGGGAUGAAGGCUCUCGGGUUGUAAACCCCUUUCAGCAGGGACGAAAACUGACGGUACCUGCAGAAGAAGCCCCGGCCAACUACGUGCCAGCAGCCGCGGUAAUACGUAGGGGGCAAGCGUUGUCCGGAUUUAUUGGGCGUAAAGAGCUCGUAGGCGGCUCGGUAAGUCGGAUGUGAAACCUCCAGGCUCAACCUGGAGACGCCAUCUGAUACUGCCGUGGCUCGAGGCCGGUAGAGGAGCAGGGAAUUCCUGGUGUAGCGGUGAAAUGCGCAGAUAUCAGGAGGAACACCAGCGGCGAAGGCGCUGCUCUGGGCCGGUACUGACGCUGAGGAGCGAAAGCGUGGGGAGCGAACAGGAUUAGAUACCCUGGUAGUCCACGCCGUAAACGUUGGGCACUAGGUGUGGGACCCCAUCGACGGGUUCUGUGCCGUAGCUAACGCAUUAAGUGCCCCGCCUGGGGAGUACGG